CUACGGGCCGCUGCAGUGGGGAAUCUUAGACAAUGGGCGCAAGCCUGAUCUAGCCAUGCCGCGUGAGUGACGAAGGCCUUAGGGUCGUAAAGCUCUUUCGCUAGGGAAGAUAAUGACUGUACCUAGUAAAGAAACCCCGGCUAACUCCGUGCCAGCAGCCGCGGUAAUACGGAGGGGGUUAGCGUUGUUCGGAAUUACUGGGCGUAAAGCGCGCGUAGGCGGAUCAGAAAGUUGGGGGUGAAAUCCCAGGGCUCAACCCUGGAACUGCCUCCAAAACUCCUGGUCUUGAGUUCGAGAGAGGUGAGUGGAAUUCCGAGUGUAGAGGUGAAAUUCGUAGAUAUUCGGAGGAACACCAGUGGCGAAGGCGGCUCACUGGCUCGAUACUGACGCUGAGGUGCGAAAGCGUGGGGAGCAAACAGGAUUAGAUACCCGGGUAGUC
rnacentral:rRNA from 1 species